GACGAACGCUGGCGGCGUGCCUAACACAUGCAAGUCGAGCGGAGAUGAUGUGAGGAAGUUUUCGGAUGGAAUCACAUUAUUUUAGCGGCGGACGGGUGAGUAACGCGUGAGCGACCAACCUUGCACAGGGGGGAUAACGGACCGAAAGGUUCACUAAUACCGCAUGAGACCACGGUGUUGCAUGACACAGGGGUCAAAGGAGGAAUCCGGUGCAAGACGGGCUCGCGUCCGAUUAGGUAGUUGGAGGGGUAACGGCCCACCAAGCCUAUGAUCGGUAGCCGACCUGAGAGGGUGAUCGGCCACAUUGGAACUGAGAUACGGUCCAAACUCCUACGGGAGGCAGCAGUGGGGAAUAUUGGGCAAUGGGGGAAACCCUGACCCAGCAACGCCGCGUGAAGGAAGAAGGUUUUCGGAUUGUAAACUUCUGUCCUUGGUGAAGAGAAGAAGACGGUAGCCAAGGAGGAAGCCCCGGCUAACUACGUG
rnacentral:rRNA from 1 species